rnacentral:rRNA from 1 species
CCUACGGGAGGCAGCAGUGAGGAAUAUUGGUCAAUGGGCGCGAGCCUGAACCAGCCAAGUAGCGUGAAGGAUGACUGCCCUACGGGUUAUAAACUUCUUUUAUAAAGGAAUAAAGUGAGGCACGUGUGCCUUUUUGUAUGUACUUUAUGAAUAAGGCUCGGCUAACUCCGUGCCAGCAGCCGCGGUAAUACGGAGGUUCCGAGAGUUAGCCGGAUGUAUUGGGUUUAAAGGGAGUGUAGUUGGGUUGGUAAGUCAGUUGUGAAAUGUUGCGGCUUAACAGUAAAAUUGAAAUGGAUACGGGCAGUCUUGAGUGCAGUUGAGGUAGGCGGAAUUCGUAGUGUAGCGGUGAAAUGCUUAGAUAUUACGAAGAACUCCGAUUGCGAAGGCAGCUUACUAAACUGCCACUGACAUUGAUGCUCGAAAGUGUGGGUAUCAAACAGGAGUAGAUACCCUAGUAGUC